rnacentral:rRNA from 1 species
UACGCAGGGGGCUAGCGUUGCUCGGAAUGACUGGGCGUAAAGGGCGCGUAGGCGGCUCAUACAGUCAGAUGUGAAAUUCCUGGGCUUAACCUGGGGGCUGCAUUUGAUACGUGUGGGCUUGAGUGGGGAAGAGGGUCGUGGAAUUCCCAGUGUAGAGGUGAAAUUCGUAGAUAUUGGGAAGAACACCGGUGGCGAAGGCGGCGACCUGGUCCUUGACUGACGCUGAGGCGCGAAAGCGUGGGGAGCAAACAGG